CUACGGGUGGCUGCAGUGGGGAAUAUUGGGCAAUGGGCGCAAGCCUGACCCAGCAACGCCGCGUGAGGGAAGAAGGUUUUCGGAUUGUAAACCUCUGUCCUUGGGGACGAAGAAGUGACGGUACCCAAGGAGGAAGCUCCGGCUAACUACGUGCCAGCAGCCGCGGUAAUACGUAGGGAGCAGGCGUUGUCCGGAAUUACUGGGCGUAAAGGGUGCGUAGGCGGCAUAUUAAGUCAGGUGUGAAAUACUCGGGCUCAACCCGGGGGCUGCAUUUGAAACUGAUAUGCUUGAGUGUGAGAGAGGAAAGUGGAAUUCCUAGUGUAGCGGUGGAAUGCGUAGAUAUUAGGAGGAACACCAGUGGCGAAGGCGACUUUCUGGCUCAUAACUGACGCUGAGGCACGAAAGCGUGGGGAGCAAACAGGAUUAGAUACCCGAGUAGUC
rnacentral:rRNA from 1 species